rnacentral:rRNA from 1 species
UACGUAGGGGGCAAGCGUUGUCCGGAAUCAUUGGGCGUAAAGAGCGCGUAGGCGGUCCGAUAAGUCGGUUGUGAAAACUGGGGGCUCAACCCUCAGAGGCCGACCGAUACUGUCGGGCUAGAGUCCGGAAGAGGCGAGUGGAAUUCCUGGUGUAGCGGUGAAAUGCGCAGAUAUCAGGAGGAACACCAAUGGCGAAGGCAGCUCGCUGGGACGGUACUGACGCUGAGGUGCGAAAGCGUGGGGAGCAAACAGG